CGCCAUGAUUGUGAGGCUUCCCCAGCCAUGUGGAAACAUAUUCGCAGAGCACCCACUAGGUGCCAGUAAAUGUAUGAGAAGUCCUGUGGAAUAAGACUGAAGUUGUCCUUGCCUUCAAGCAACUUGCAAUUGCCUAAGAACACAGUUUAAAACCACAAAACUAAGCCUUGGAAAUCACAUGCUGUCAUUUCUGCGAUCGGUCAUAACCAGUCCUGAUUCCAUGUUAGAGGAGACUACAUAAGGACACAGGUACCAGAAGAUGAAAAAUUUGGAGUCUAGUGAAAAGAAGUGACUUGCUCAAAAUCACACAGCACAUGAAGAACAGAGCCUCUAUGAUGAAUUUCUUGACAGCUGAUAUAAGUCUUUUGAGGUACAGCCUGGCACAAAAAGGAUGAGAUUUGUGGGCAGAAUUUUGGAAGAAUAUCUCCCGAGAGAACAUUCAGGACAGAUUGCACUGCUUUGGAGAGCUGGUGAUGAAAUCCGGCCAUUGAAUUACACUGCACUAUAAACUUCAUUUGUUCUUGGGUGCAUAGUGAUUUGCUAUAAUAAUGAUCAUCCAUUUGCCAGACAGCUGAGAUUUUUUAAAAGCUUGAUUGCUUUUGGCAUGGCAUUAUUAGUCCUGGAAGAAGGCAGCACAUUUGUAGCAAUUCUCAGCUUGAGCAAACUAGAAUAUUCACCUCCCACAAAUGCUGGCCAUUUAAGAUCUGUGUGUUAGACUUUGGCAUUUUUUCUAGCAAUUCUACAACAGCAUACACACUUUUAUUUUUCAUUAACACCAUUGUGAAUAUGCCCAUCUCUAAAAUUUCAAGGGGGUUCACUUAAGCUACUGAGUUUUAUGGACAGAAGGGCCAAGAAAAGUCCCCAAAGAAGAGUGCAUGCUGUCAAUUGCCAAUUAUUUUUUUUUCUAAUGAAAGCCAAACAAUUCCAGACAAACCCUUUUCUAAGAAAUGAACUACAUAUCUGGAUCCAAAUAAAUACUCAUCUGAUAAGAAUCUAAAAGCUCUACUGAAUUACAGUGGAUGAGAACAUGAUGAUGGUGAUUCUUUGAAGAUUACUGAGGAAAUCAACUCUCAUGUCUGAUUCUGAUACUUUUAUAGUCCAUCCAUGUUGAAAAUGUCUAUGGAAUGAUUCUGUUGUACCUUGAGAAAUGAAAUUCAUAGGCAUGGAUUCUCUCACACAGCAACUUUAUACACAAAGAUGAGAAUAGAAGAAAGGUCAUUUCCAAAGAAAGUGACAUUUAUUCUGUAUUCACUGAAAAGCCAAAAGAAUUUUCUCAUUCACCCAUACCGACAGAGCCCUACAUCUCCCCGAGAAGAGGUGAAAGAGACUGCUCCUAUCUGCUUCUGCAUCAAACUUCAGGCUCAAGACCUGUCCAGAAAAAAAAAUGUCUUCUUUCAGGGAUGAACUGCUGUCCUCAUCAGACGCCUUAUUUUGUUUAGAAUUCAAGCUCACUUGACAGGUUAUUGUGAAGAUUAAAUGAAUUAAUACAUGUGAAGCAACUGUAACAACUCUUGACAUGCGUGGGCUGGACUUCCAGAAGAAACGUUGUCAGAACUCUGCCCAACUGAAAACAA
rnacentral:lncRNA from 1 species